rnacentral:rRNA from 1 species
AUUGAACGCUGGCGGCAUGCUUUACACAUGCAAGUCGAACGGCAGCGCGGGCUUCGGCCUGGCGGCGAGUGGCGAACGGGUGAGUAAUACAUCGGAACGUGCCCAGUAGUGGGGGAUAGCUCGGCGAAAGCCGGAUUAAUACCGCAUACGACCUGAGGGUGAAAGCGGGGGAUCUUCGGACCUCGCGCUAUUGGAGCGGCCGAUGGCAGAUUAGCUAGUUGGUGGGGUAAAGGCCUACCAAGGCGACGAUCUGUAGCUGGUCUGAGAGGACGACCAGCCACACUGGGACUGAGACACGGCCCAGACUCCUACGGGAGGCAGCAGUGGGGAAUUUUGGACAAUGGGCGAAAGCCUGAUCCAGCAAUGCCGCGUGUGUGAUGAAGGCCUUCGGGUUGUAAAGCACUUGUGGCGGGAACGAAAAGGACUGUGCCAAUACCACGGUUCGAUGACGGUACCCGCAGAAUAAGCACCGGCUAACUACGUG